CAGCCGCCACGGUAAUACGUAGGGUGCAAGCGUUAAUCGGAAUUACUGGGCGUAAAGCGUGCGCAGGCGGUUAUAUAAGACAGAUGUGAAAUCCCCGGGCUCAACCUGGGAACUGCAUUUGUGACUGUAUAGCUAGAGUACGGCAGAGGGGGAUGGAAUUCCGCGUGUAGCAGUGAAAUGCGUAGAUAUGCGGAGGAACACCGAUGGCGAAGGCAAUCCCCUGGGCCUGUACUGACGCUCAUGCACGAAAGCGUGGGGAGCAUACAGGAUUAGAUACCCCUGUAGUCCCUGUCUCUUAUAC
rnacentral:rRNA from 1 species